CUUGCGGAUCAUUUCCUGAUGGCGUUACCAAAUAUCAAAAAGCAUUUCUGGCGUCGUUGCCGGGGAGAAAGACGGUUUGCUGAGAUAACUUUUAGUCUUGCUAUUAGCUUGUAUUAUACUUUUAUUCUUUUAUCUUUUUAUUUUUUCCAUCUUUAUGGAUAACUCAAAUUCCACACCUAUUAUUGAGUUUUUUGCACCUUCGGAGACCAGCCAUAGACCAUGGGAGUCAACAAGUCCUUUCUUUGCCCCUAAUUAUGAUCUGUGACCAGAGUUGAUUGCAAUAGGUCAAAACCAACCCUUUUCUAUAGCCGAGGUCCUAUCUUUUAAUCAAGAAGAUAAUGAACUUUUAGCUACACCUAGGGAAUCUUUUAAUCUUUCUAUAAAUUCUGGUUUAGACCUAGCCCUAAAAGACCAUGUUUUUUCUCGAUAUUUUCACAUUGGUCUUAAUCAUAUAACCUUUGGUAGAGUUUUUCUUUCUUUAUCUGUUAUUAAAGCAAGGUAUGUCUUCAUUCGUGGACAUUCUUCUUACACUAGUCUUCAUAAAAAAUUUCUAGAGAUAGAGAAGGAAUAAUCUCCCAGACAAGGAAAGGAAGUUUCAAUAGCCGAUUUCCAAACAUUUCAAUCCUAUGAUUUGGCUAUCCAACCCAUCCUUGAGCUUAAUAAUUUCUACUAUGCUCUUUCUCUUGAACCUCCCGAUGAUCCUAUGAAUCUCUCUAGACAUCCCAUGUAUAAGAGUCACCAAGACCAUAAGGAGGAUCGAGAAGAGGAACAUCAAUGGCUAGAGGGCAUUAAAAAUCCAUGUGCUAUCACCAUUGAAUGGAUGGACAAGGAAGAAGCCUUAAUGGAUUCUGACUUUGGCUCAAUUUCAAAUGGUGAGUUCUUAACUCCCUUUGAAGAUGAGAUUCAUCCAACUACAGAAGAGGACAUAGGCGAGACCAAUCUAGGAGAAACUCCGAACAUUC
rnacentral:lncRNA from 1 species